AGAGUUUGAUCCUGGCUCAGGAUGAACGCUAGCGACAGGCUUAACACAUGCAAGUCGAGGGGCAGCGAGGGAGUGGCAACACUUCUGUCGGCGACCGGCGCACGGGUGAGUAACGCGUAUGCAACCUGCCCUUCACAGGGGGAUAACCGGGAGAAAUUCCGACUAAUACCGCAUACGUCCUCCGGGGGCAUCCCCGGGGGAUGAAAGAAUUAUCGGUGAAGGAUGGGCAUGCGUGAUAUUAGGUAGUUGGCGGGGCAACGGCCCACCAAGCCUACGAUAUCUAGGGGUUCUGAGAGGAAGGUCCCCCACAUUGGUACUGAGACACGGACCAAACUCCUACGGGAGGCAGCAGUGAGGAAUAUUGGUCAAUGGACGGGAGUCUGAACCAGCCAAGUCGCGUGAAGGAAGACGGAUCUAUGGUUUGUAAACUUCUUUAGUGCGGGAACAAAGCGGCGUCGUGACGCCGGAUGAGUGUACCGCAAGAAUAAGCAUCGGCUAACUCCGUGCCAGCAGCCGCGGUAAUACGGAGGAUGCGAGCGUUAUCCGGAUUUAUUGGGUUUAAAGGGAGCGCAGGCUGCGAGGCAAGUCAGCGGUCAAAUGUCGGGGCUCAACCCCGGCCUGCCGUUGAAACUGUCUUGCUAGAGUUCGAGUGAGGUAUGCGGAAUGCGUUGUGUAGCGGUGAAAUGCAUAGAUAUGACGCAGAACUCCGAUUGCGAAGGCAGCAUACCAACUCGCGACUGACGCUGAGGCUCGAAAGCGUGGGUAUCGAACAGGAUUAGAUACCCUGGUAGUCCACGCAGUAAACGAUGAAUACUAACUGUUCGGAGGGCGACCUCUGAGUGGUAAAGCGAAAGCGUUAAGUAUUCCACCUGGGGAGUACGCCGGCAACGGUGAAACU
rnacentral:rRNA from 1 species